rnacentral:rRNA from 1 species
AGUGAACGCUGGCGGUAGGCCUAACACAUGCAAGUCGAACGGCAGCACAGUAAGAGCUUGCUCUUACGGGUUGCGAGUGGCGGACGGGUGAGGAAUACAUCGGAAUCUACUUUUUCGUGGGGGAUAACGUAGGGAAACUUACGCUAAUACCGCAUACGACCUACGGGUGAAAGCAGGGGAUCUUCGGACCUUGCGCGAUUGAAUGAGCCGAUGUCGGAUUAGCUAGUUGGCGGGGUAAAGGCCCACUAAGGCGAGGAGUCGUAGCUGGUCUGAGAGGAGGGUAGGCCGCACGGGAACGUGGACAGGGACAAUGGUCCUAAGGGAGGGAGCAGUGGGGAAUAGGAGGCAGUAGGGGGGAGCAUGACCCAAUGGUACCGAGUGGGAGACGAAGGCCUCGGGGGUGUGAAGCCCUUUUGUGGGGUAAGAACAGCAGCAGCUUAAUACGCCGCUGUAGUGACGGUAACGGAUGAAGAAGCACCGGCUAACUACGUG